CUGACCUGUGGGGGCCGCAGGAAACCACACCCGUCACAGCAACCACACGCGUGUCCUCUGCUCGUGCUCACCGCCCCUCCCUCCCCACCCCAGCAGACUGCACCUCCAGGAGAACACCAGAGGAAACAGAAAAUGAUUUCAAAAUGCUGCCAGCGGAGCGAGAAGCCAGCCUGGGCUCUUCAGAGCGCGAGCCCCAAGCGGCACUGCAGAUUGCACACCCAGGACGCAGCCUCCUCCCUGCUUUGUUUUCCUGUUGCUUGAGACACGGCUUCCCUCGGCCCCCAGACUGCGAGCUCAUUCAGGAAGGAGCCUGAGCCUCUCCGGUGUCUUACGUAAGCCCAAACAGCCCAAGACAACGUUCAAGCCAGAUUUCAGCCCCUCUUCAACAGCCGCUUUAAAAAGCAGGGGUGGCUAAGUCAUAAUGGCCCACGUUUCUCUUUGGGGGAUACGGGAGUCCAUGUGAAAAGCCGUGAUUUUCAGAUUCCACACAUGAGAGGGAAACAUCCUCCCUUUCAGCAGAGGGGAGCGCUGUUCUCGAAAGCACAUUCGUACAAGUGGACGACCCAGAGCCACUGGACCUGAAGUAUCCCAAUGUCUCUGGCGGGAAUUCAUUCAUUUAUCCCUUUACUCCACAAAUGAGUAUGUAGUCAGUGCCUACUAUGUGUACCGGGGCACAUGAGUGUAGAAAACGGGCUCACAGAGCAUUUUCCAGGGAAGGGACAGACAACAGACAAAACACGGAAGCACGAAGAGAAGACAGUGUGAAGAAACCUGGAACAGAGGGGCUGGGACGCUGGGGGCGCAAGGUGCACGUCUCAGUCGCUGAUUGGAGAAGCCCUCUCAUAAAGACGGCGUUUGAGCAAGGGCUUGAACGAGGUGGGGUGAGCCCCGGCGCUGCUCAGGGGGAGAACGUUCCAGGCACACGUCGAUGCUCACACAGUGUCUGGUGGGUGUCAUCGGGCCUCCUGGAAAGGGAGGCCAGGUGGGCUUCCAACCAAUGCGCUGCUGGCUUCCAGGUUCCCGCCACCCCUUGUCACGACACUAACCUUGCCUGACUCGGCAUGAUGUGGGGGGAGCACCUCCCACACACCAGGCUGGAACUCCACAGCUGAGACACUUCUGGGGACUUGUGGGUGUUUCUGGGGGGUUUCGCGUGGCUUCCGUAACAGAACACCAGAAACAGGGGGUCUUGAAUGACAGAAAUUUACUGUCUCCCAGUUUGGGGACCCCGAAGUCCAAAAUCAAGGGGUUGGUGCAGCCGUGCUCCCUCCAAAGGCUCCAGGAGAGGAUCUUUCUAUGCUGGUGGCUCCAGGCUGUUCUUGGCUUGCAGACGCAUCCACGUCAAUCUCUGCCUCCAUUUCCACGUGGUCGUCCCCUCCUCUGAGUUCUCUCCCUUGAAGGACACCAGUCGUGUUGGGUCAGGGCCCAUCCUAAUGACUUCAUCCUAAUUUGAUGACACCUGCAAGGACCCUACUUCCAAAUCAGGUCACCUUCACAACUACCAGGGCGUUAGGACUUCAUCCCGUCUUUCGGGAAAACACAACUUAACAAGCAGUGGAGGAAAGAUAAUUAUUCUGUUGACCCACACAGAGAUCAUAUCAUUCUGGUGGUUCAUACACUUGGUCGCAUGAAGACAGGCCGCCUAUAUGUACCAGCUGGAGGUGAGACUGUCAAAGUGUCUUUCUUGUCACUCGGGGCUGUGCAGACACAGGUGCUCUGGUUGGGAGCGGCAUUGCCCAUUAAUUACCGGCUGCUGUGAUUUCUGUGGGGAGAUAAUUACUCGGUUUUGUUCACUCCGGCACAGGAAGAAUAUGCUCCCAUCCAAGCUGGGUACCACCGCGGUCUCCUGGGUAACCCGGGAUGUCUCCUGGCUUCUGGUGUCUCAUUUCUGGUUUCCAAUUUUCUAAUGCUUUUGGUCGGCAAUUCCCUGUGGUCGAAUCCUUCCGGCUUCGUCUUUAUUAAAAGUCUUUAGAUGUUGAA